rnacentral:lncRNA from 1 species
GUUUUUAGGGACGCACCUGUGGCAUAUGGAGGUUUCCAGGCUAGGAGUUGAAUCGGAGCUACGCUGCUAGUCUACACCACAGCCACAGCAAAGCAGGAUCCGAGCUGCAUCUGCACCUACGUCACAGCUCACGGCAACACUGGAUCCUUAAUCCACUGAGCAAGGCCAGGGAUCGAACCUGCGUCCUCAUGGAUACCAGUCAGAUUUGUUAACCGCUGCACCACGAUAGGAACUCCCAUCAUUUCAUCUUUUGAUUUGUGUCUUCGAAGUGAGGUCAGAUGGGACAAUAGUAUGACAGGGGGCUUGAAGCUUGGGCUGAGCAGCAGUCCAGCCUCCCAGCCCCAGAUCAGCAGCCAGCGUGCGUGGGGUGUGGGGCGGCUCCCAUCCUGUCAUCACCUCCACCACGGCCACUGGUGAGGGCCCGGGCCCCUGGGGGCCACGGGGGUCGAAGCGGGGCCCUGAGAUGGCAGUGUUGGGGACCAUCUGUCCCUCUUACACCCCAGGAACUCAGCGGGUCCUGGGGUGGAGGCUGGGAUCCCCUGGAACCGUCUGCAGUGGGCUGGGCUGGGAGGCCCGAAGAAAGGCGAGGUUGACUCUGCUCUUGCACGGAGACCCCAAAAGAUGGAGCUGGCCCCGACAGCCAGGGUUCCAGGGGCACUGAUGGGGAGGCGGCCUGGACAACCUGGGCCACUUUCUUGGGGGUGUCCCAGCCCUGCGCCCUGGACCAGGGCGCCAGAGAGCCCCGGACCUGCAGAGCAGAAGGAUGCUGCCAAGUGGCUCUUCUCGCCUUAACUGCAGCCAGCGCCGAGGGCUGGGGUCACAGAGAUGUUUUCCAGCAACAGGAUGGGUGCCCCCUGCCCCGCCUCGCUCCCAGCACUGCAGCCAGUUCCCGAAACCCCGCCCAGGGGGGCCCGCGGGAGGCACCCCAACCUCAGACACAACACGCCCCUCAUCUCUGGUGAGCCCAGGUUCUGCAGAAACAUCCCUGAUUUUAUUUUGAGGACUCGCAGGGCACAGGUAGAGAAACACCAGCAGCUCACUCUCUGAGGAUCUCUUCUCCCGCUGGGGGGCAGCUUUGACAGGCUCCCCAUCAGCCUCCACCCUCUCCCCGCACCGGGGUCCAUGCCCCCUCCGUGUGGGCGGGGCCUGGGGACCUCCCUCGAGGGACCAGAAUAUGGUAAAAGCGAUGGGAUGUCACCGGUGAGAUUUGCCUAAAAGACUGCGGUUCCCUCUCUGCUCCACACACACUCUGUGACCUUGGCUUGCUCGUUUGCAUAAGCGAGGGCCUUGUGGGACCUCCCACGUGGGAGAGGACCACGUGGCAGGGACUGAGUGAGGCCUCCAGCCAACCUCCAGCGAGGGACCGAGGCCCUCCCUCUGUUCAAAAGCCCUGGAGGAGCUGAAUCCUGCCAGUGACGGGGAGGGAGCCCUCAGAUGAGACAGCAGCCCCAAAGGACACCGGGGGCACAGCCCGGGAGGGACCCCGAAGCCAGAGAUCCAGUGGGACAGCGCCCAGACUCCUGACCCACCGACAAUGGGAGAGCAGCAGCAUUGGAGUGGCCCAGGUUUGGAGUAACUUGUUAUGUGGCUGGAGUCAGCUGACACGCCCAGCCAGACAUGCUCUAGCACCUUCUCUGGGAAGCACUGUCCUCCCGUUUUGCAGCCCAUGCUCGGCUGAGCUGGCAGAACCCUGUCUCCUCGCCCACGCUCCCACCUCCACUAUUUUUUUUUUUUUUUUGUCUUUUUGCCUUUUCUAGGCCUGCACCCGCAGCAUAUGGAGGUUCCCAGGCUAGGGGUCUAAUCAGAGCUGUAGCCACCAGCCUAUGCCAGAGCCACAGCAACAUGGGAUCCAAGCUGUCUGUGACCUACACCACAGCUCGUGCCAACGCCGGAUCCUUAGCCCACUGAGCAAGGCCAGGGAUCGAACCCGAAACCUCAUGGUUCCUACUCGGAUUCGUUAACCACUGCGCCACGACGGGAACUCCCCACCUGCACGCUUCCAGCUCCUGGUCAGCUCCCUCUCAGCCGCGAGGCUGUCUUCUGUCACCUCUGCAAACUCUGCUCAGUCCUCCUGGGCCACUCCCGUCUCCCCUUCAUGGCCCGUGUCUCGGAUCAACUCCAUUGCAGCCGUGUCUCUGCUCCCCAGGGCCCCUCAGCAUCUCUGGAUUCAGGUCACAAGAUACCAUGCCCUGACGACAGGCCACUUCCCCGUCUCAGCGCCCACUGGCUCAUUUUGCCUCUUCCCUGGGCAGCAGGUUUCCAAAGGAUGGAUAAUGCUUAGCCAGCCAACUCAGGUCCAGACUCCGUAAGGCACCUACUGUGUGCUGGAAGCUGGGCUCCCAGACAAAUGGCACAGGAUUCUUGCCCUCUCUGGGCCAGCAGUUCUCAGAUGUGAGGGCUGCAGGGCUUGUGAGAAAGCAGUUCCCUCAUGGGGCACCCUUAACAGGUGUGGGCUCUGGUUCUGAGAAGCCGGGGGUGCGGUGCUGGCAGCCGCCCGGAGGGCAGUUCUGUGCGGAUGCGACGGUGCUCGGACACACGCCCUGCGUCCCUGGAAAUGCUCGGAGGAAGGCUGGUCGCCCGCUCACCAGAACAUGCCGGAGUUCAUUACACUUAGACGGCUGUCCACGUGGAAAGGGCAAAGUUAAAACAUCCCGGCAGGAGCUGGCGGGACCCAGGCUGAGAGUCACACUCUCACAGCAGGGUGGCCACCGGUCAGCUGCACACAUGUGCUAAAGGUGACAGCCUGAAAUAGAGCUGUGACUCAUCCAGAGCAAGGGCCCCGGGCAGAACAGGACGUGGCGUCCACCAGGGGACGGGGGUGUGGGCGUUGGACCAGGGCGCACGAGCCCAGUGCGCCUGGACCGUGUGCGGCACCUUUCCCGCCCCGACUGGACCCUUGGAGGACACAGGGACAGGCCAACUGCAGUCAGUCCCUGGGACGCCUGCCCUGCCCCCACAUGUGCAGUGCCCUGUGUACACAGUAGGUGCUCCCUUCACACUGUAACUAGGGCCCCUGCCUGCUCCCCAGCACCCUGCUGCCAGGGCCCUUCCUCUCCUGCUUCCUGGGUGGUCCCUUCCCACCACCUGUGGCCAAAGCCAUGGCCACCCAGCAGGAGGCCCGCCUGGAGGGGGCACAGCUGGCAGGACUGGCCGCAGCGCCCCCCCAGGAGCCCCAGGCUAGCGGGGAGCCAGCCACUGGCCUCUGGGCCAGCUCGCUCGCCUGGGAGGUGCCCAGAGGAAAGCAACCGGCCGAGGCCCCCUCCCACCCCUCCUGCUCGUGCCUCCCCGCCCCACCCCAUUCCCGAGGUCCCGAGGACUCCCUAAUAAUAGCAAUCCUAAAUCCUCAUGGCCAAUUCUGCUCCAUUUCUAUAAAUAAUGUAGAAUCUUUUUAUUUACUGACAGGUUGUAAAAGUAUCAGGGAGAAUAAUGUGAAAUCAGGAGCUGCUGAAUAAUGCACAAGGUCGGCCUCCCUCCGUCUCCUGCCAGCGGGUCCCCGGCCCCCAGCACUGCGCCCCCGAGGUGAGGGGUCGGGGGGGGGGAUGCGUAGAGCUGAAGCUCCUGGGCCCUGGGCACCACUUGCUCCCGUUCAGUCUUUCAAGGUUUGCACCUGACCUUGGAGGAGGCUUCUGGAGCCACUCAGGGAGGGACACAGGGUCUGGGGCCCACGCCCUCGUCAUUUGGUUAUUCAAACCAGGCCCUAGCCACCUCCUCUUGCAAACAGAUAUUUGCAUGAUCAGAGCCACGUGUCCGCAACAACCUUCCCAGCACACGUCCUCAGACACACACAAGACACACACCCACAACCACACACACACACAAUCACACCCCGAUACAUACACAACCAUACAAAAUAUACAACUAGAGACAAAUACGUAACACACACACACACAGGACACACUAACACACGCAGACCCACCCAGACGCAUAUAACAGACACACAUGUACAAUUACACAAGAUACAGAAGCACAUAAACCCAGAGACACGCAGAAAUACAUGGAAUCCUGACACACACAGCCACACACUCAGACAGACAGAUACAACCACGCGCAAAGGUACAACCACACACACAGACACAAGAUACACAAGCACACACACACAUUGUUUUUCUCUAUCUUUGAUCAUCUCGAAAGUUCGAAAGCAGAAUGGGGAGGGCUGGCUGGCUAAGUCUCGAUGGUUCUUGACUUCUGAAGAACUUGCAUUAGUCACGCGAGGUGCCAGCUUGGUUAUGAGGGUGCAGGUGUUCAGGGUUGGGGCUCAGACUGGCCACACUGAGGGCGUGACUUGACAGGCUCCCGGUCCAGGCAGAGCCGCCAGGCUGGGCUGGGGGCAGCCUGGAGGCCAGGUCUGUCUCUGCCCAGGGGCGACCUCUCAGCCAUCAGCGAGCGGGGCUGGGGGGCUACGCGCUGGGAUGUGCACCCAUGAGGGUGGGGGCCUCGGCUGUCCGCUGACAGGUGCAGUCCCUGUGCCCGGGGUGCUUGGCCCACGGCGGGUGCUCAGCAAACACGCACGAUGACAAUUCUCAAUGCGACUGUUACCUCCACUGUACAGACGAGGAAACUAUCCAGGGGCUCGAAAAAGCCUGCGGGAUUGCGGGCAGGGAAGUCCGGAGCGGGGACAAGCCGUAUGCAUCACCAUUUCUCCCCGAGGCUGGGUGGCUGGGUGGCUCUCCUAUUCCUUGUGUUUCUCUGAAUGCAUCACAUACGCACAGUGAGACACAAUAAAGUCCCUGCAGUCCCUGUGGACAGAACCCCUCAAAGAAGCUGGCCCUGGAGCUCCCGCUGUGGCUCAGUGGUUAACAAACCCAACUAGUAUCCAAGAGGAUGCGGGUUCGAUCCCUGGCCUUGCUCAGCAGAUUAAGGAUCCGACGUUGCCACAAGCCGUGGUGUAGGUCACAGAUGUGGCUCGGAUCUGGCGUUGCUGUGGCUGUGGGGUAGGCUGGCAGCUGCAGCUCUGAUCGGACCCCUAGCCUGGGACUUGUCACAUGGUGCAGGUAUGGCCCGAAACCGCCCCCCUCCCCAAAAAAAGAAGCUGGUCUUUCCAAGGGUGCGUGGGGUCCUGCUGGGGUUGGGGGCAGCCAGAUGCUACUCUGAAGGCUCCCCAGGGCACCACACACACGCAUGCACAGACCCACGCAAUGCACACCCACCUGCACUUGUGUAUUUAUUACUCCAGUCAGAUGGUACACACUGACAUACGUGGACACACAAUGCAAAUACACACUGGCGUGUAUGCACACAGCAGUGCACACCACCACCAGGUAGGCAUGAAAGCACACACUCACACACGCACACGGACGUUACACACCAUGUGAGGAUGCAUACAUGCCACAAUCGCACGUAUGUCCACACGUGCACACAGCCCCACCCACCUAAACAGGCACCCACAUCCCCACACACCUCCACACACAUUCCCCGGGGCAGGAUCAAGUGACCAGAAAGGGACAACUGUCCACUGGCCCAGGAACCCGGGACUGGCUGUGAGCUCUGGGUUCCCCCGUGAGCUCUGCUGCCACAGUUUCAGGAAGCUCAGCCUCUCAAUUCGAGCCUAUUGCUACAGCCGGGGACGCUGAGGUGUGUCCCCAUUUUUACAGCUGGGACGCUGAGGUGCCAGGUCCCGCAGCGAUCUGCCUGAGAGGACAGGAUCCGGUAUUUGUUUAGUGGCUUUAGACCCGGAAGCCUUGACGGGCGGCGCCUUGAUCCAGUCUUGCCACGGCCGCAGGUGGCAGACGUGGCCCCACGCUACAGACACAACAGAAGGUACAAUGAUGUUUGCAAAGACAGACGGGACGGGACGCCGUGGAGUGGAGGCUAUUAUCAGGCCCAUUUUGCAGAAGUGAACACCAAGGGGUGGAGAGGUGACACCACUUGGCUGGGUCUGAACCCCAGAGACUUUGGGAUGCAGAGCGAGAGGCGUCUACUGGGCAGCAGAGAAUCACCUGGAAGCCCUGAAAAUGCACCACGGCCUGGAACCCCUACCCUGAGAGUCCGACUUAAGUGGUCUGUGCGGUGGAGGGUGGGCCUCAGGACUUUGGAAAAGCAGGGCCAAGGGCAGGCCCCAGCUUUUCGGCGCUCAUCUGCUUCUGGAAUCCUCUUGCCUCCCUCUGCGAGGGCUCCCAGGGGAGACGCCUGAGUUGAAAUCAGACUGCAGGUGGGGCCCCCUUCCCACGUCAUUUCAAUCCCUGAGGCCAGCAGGUCCCCAGAGAAGCAGUUGGGAAGACGACCAAGGUGUGAGGCUGGCGGGUGUCCUUGAGCGGGGCCAGAUGGCCGCUCCCACGGCAGGUGGUGCCGCCCGCGCUGCCAGAAGCUCCAGGGAGGCCCGGGGCUGAGUCAGAAACCUAGGCUCCCUGCCCGGAAGGUGACUUUGGAACCUUGUGAAUUCGGAUGUGACAGCUCCAGAAGCUGGGAGGAGCCCUCGGCUACAGAAUCAGCCCCUCCCCAAGCCUUGGUCACCAAGGACCACGUGCUCCGGGGCAGGGACAGCGCAAGGGGACCCCAAUGCCAUGCACCUGCCUGCGGUGGGGGAGGGGGAGCACAGUACCUGCACCAGGGGUGGGCACAGAGGGGUGUGUGUGUCUAUGAAGGCGGAGGGCCAGGGGUCUCCAGCCAGUGGGCUGUGCUGUGUGACCCUGGAUCCAGCACUCUGCCUCUCUCAGCUGUGUUUACGUCCCCAUUUGGGAAAAGGGGAAAGAAACCUCCCUUUGCCGGCAGCUGAGGUCUUUGAACCCCGGCCCUGUGAGAGCGAAACCAAGCCUCACUUCCUCCCUGCCUCCCGGGCCAGACUUGGGGGAUCAGGACCGAGGGGGGGCCCAGGGAGUGUUGUCGUCUCCCCCUUUGCACCCCCUGAUUCCCCCGUCAUCGCUGGGGGGGGGGCUUUCUCCCAUCUUUUGAUUUCCUGUUCCCCACGCCCUCUCUUUCUCUGUCUCCCUUGCCAGAUGGUCCCAAGCCUGGUGGGGUCACAGGCUCUCCGGAGAGGGCACUCCCCGCCCCAGACAGGAAACAGCAGCCUCCUGGGGGGCCCCCAGCGCUAAGGCCUUCCAGAUGCGGCCUCUUCUGACGCACCCCUGGUUCGCGUCCCGGCAGGACCGUGACUUCCAAGGGGUCCCCGUGCUGCUCCGGCGGCCCCUGGACGUUCAGUCUGACCCGGGGAGACCUUGGACGUGGCCCGGAUGCCCUGGAGCGCGCAGAGCCGCCCCCUUUCCAAGUUGGGGAAAGGAAGGCGCCGUGGGGCCUGGGCCAACUGAUUUCCUGCGCUGGCGCCUGGCGGUGGGCAGCCCGCCUUUGGCAGCGGCUUGGCAUCAGAAGGCGCUGGCAGACCGCAGAAGUGGAGGGGGCCGGCGGGGCGGCUCCCACACGUCCAGUUCGCCCAGGCACCCAGGACAGCGGCGCCUCCCACCUCGUCCUGAAAGUGGGUGCCGGGGGUGGGGAGUGUUUUGCAUCCUGGUUGCUAUGCAUCGGCUCUAUCCUGGAGUUCAAGCCGGGACCUGUCUCCCUCCGUGAGAGCCUGUGGCCGAAUAUUUCCUGUCUCUUAAAACAAGGUUCACCCGCCCUCUCCCAAGUCGCUGGCCCCCCACUGCCCGAGCUGGCAUGGAAGAGGCCCCGCUCUAGCCACCCCUCCCUCAUCGCCCAGGGGCCUGGGGGAGGCUGGCAGCUGCAGGGAGGUUUCCCUCCCACCUUCUUCUCAUGGGAUCUGAGUGGGUUUUGCGACAAGGAGUGAGCCAGCAGGGCAGCCUGAGGCUGGGAACAGGCCGCCUGGGUCUGCAAGGAUGCUCUCCACGGCCCUAUUAACAUCUGAGAGAACAUUCUAGAGGAAGGAAGCUGGGGGGUGGGGUGGGGAACCCUGAGCACCUCGGAGCUCAGCAGACACACGGAGCCUGGGGACCGCCGGCCAGCCCUUGGGG